rnacentral:rRNA from 1 species
AUUGAACGCUGGCGGCAGGCCUAACACAUGCAAGUCGAACGAGUGGCGGACGGGUGAGUAAUGUCUGGGAAACUGCCUGAUGGAGGGGGAUAACUACUGGAAACGGUAGCUAAUACCGCAUACCAUCGGAUACGCACAGAUGGGAUUAGCUAGUAGGUGGGGUAAAGGCUCACCUAGGCGACGAUCCCUAGCUGGUCUGAGAGUAUGACCAGCGACACUGGAACUGAGACACGGUCCAGAAUCCUACGAGGGGCAGCAGUGGGUACUAUUGCACAAUGGGCGCAAGCCUGAUGCAUCCAUGCCGCGUGUAUAAAGAAGGCCUUCGGGUUGUAAAGUACUUUCAGCGGGGAGGCGUUACCCGCAGAAGAAGCACCGGCUAACUCCGUGCCAGCCGCCGCGGUAAUAC